rnacentral:rRNA from 1 species
UUUGACCUCAAAUCAGGUAGGACUACCCGCUGAACUUAAGCAUAUCAAUAAGCGGAGGAAAAGAAACUAACAAGGAUUCCCCUAGUAACUGCGAGUGAAGCGGGAAAAGCUCAAAUUUAAAAUCUGGCAGUCUUUGGCUGUCCGAGUUGUAAUCUAGAGAAGUGUUAUCCGCGCUGGACCG